rnacentral:rRNA from 1 species
UUUGAUCCUGGCUCAGGAUGAACGCUGGCGGUAUGCUUAACACAUGCAAGUCGAACGGGACUAUACGUAGAAUCUGCCUAAAGGACUGGGACAACAGCUGGAAACGGCUGCUAAUACCAGAUAUGCCAGAAAGUGAAAAGGGGUAACCCGCCUUUUGAUGAGCUCGCGUCUGAUUAGCUAGUUGGUAGGGUAAAGGCCUACCAAGGCACCGAUCAGUAACUGGUCUGAGAGGAUGACCAGUCACACUGGGACUGAGACACGGCCCAGACUCCUACGGGAGGCAGCAGUGGGGAAUUUUCCGCAAUGGGCGCAAGCCUGACGGAGCAAUACCGCGUGAGGGAGGAAGGCUCUUGGGUCGUAAACCUCUUUUCUCAGGGAAGAACACAAUGACGGUACCUGAGGAAUCAGCAUCGGCUAACUCCGUGCCAGCAGCCGCGGUAAUACGGAGGAUGCAAGCGUGAUCCGGAAUGAUUGGGCGGAAAGCGUCCGCAGGUGGCAGUGUAAGUCUGCUGUCAAAGGUCAGGGCUCAACCCUGAACAGGCAGUGGAAACUACACAGCUAGAGUGCGGUGGGGGCAGAGGGAAUUCCCUGUGUAGCGGUGAAAUGCGUAGAGAUUGGGAAGAACACCGGUGGCGAAAGCGCUCUGCUAGGCCGCAACUGACACUCAUGGACGAAAGCUAGGGGAGCGAAUGGGAUUAGAUACCCCAGUAGUCCUAGCCGUAAACGAUGGAUACUAG